AAUCAACGCUGGCGGCAUGCCUAACACAUGCAAGUCGAGCGAGAAAGUGUAGCAAUACAUGAGUACAGCGGCGCACGGGUGAGUAACACGUGGAUAACCUGCCUCAAAGUGGGGAACAACACCGGGAAACCGGUGCUAAUAACGCAUAUUCUGACGAGGUCUGCGGAUUUCGUCAGGAGAGGAGCAAUCCGCGAUGGGAGUGGUCUGCGGCUGAUUAGCUAGUUGGUGAGGUAAUGGCUCACCAAGGCCACGAUAAGUAGCCGGUCUGAGAGGACGGUCGGACACACUGGAACUGAGACACGGUCCAGACUCCUACGGGAGGCAGCAGUGGGGAAUUUUUCGCAAUGGGGGCAACCCUGACGAAGCAAUGCCGCGUGGAUGAUGAAGUCUCUUGGGACGUAAAAUCCUUUCGACAGGGACGAAACCGCAAGGUUGACGGUACCUGUAGAAGAAGCCCCGGCUAACUCCGUGCCAGCCGCCGCGGUAAUAC
rnacentral:rRNA from 1 species